CUCUUUUUGUUUCCCUCCAAUACAAUAAAAUCUUCCACAGCCCAACGCCCUUUCCCUGUCACUCCUUUGCCCCACUCCCUAAUCGCAACGAAGCUCCUACCUGCAGCAACAAAAAUCCCAGCACCUCCGGCCCAUCUCCAUCUCCUUCAAUCUCCCACCACUCCCACUUACAUACUCAGAUCAAGCCAAUCCUCAGAAACCCCAAUUCAAAUCCGCCAUGGACGUCGCUCGUCUCUCGACCAAUCGCAUUUCCCCGUCGCCGCUCCGUACUUCUCUGUCCGUUCUGUCCAGAGCUUCCGUUUCGGUCCGCAGGAGCCCUAGGCGCGAUUCUCCGUUUCGGAUAAUUCGCCGCGGGAACCUGUGCUGCGCCUCUUCGGGUUCGGAUACGCUGGUCGCCGGGUCGCGCAAGGAGGACGGGAGGCGGCUUGGGGGGAAGAAAGGGCAGGAUGAGGAGUUCGGUGACUUGAAAACUUGGAUGCACAGAAACGGACUCCCUCCUUGCAAGGUUGUUCUCAAAGAAAAACCCUCCCAUGAUGAGAAACACAGGCCUAUUCAUUACAUUGCGGCGAGCGAGGAUCUUCAGGCUGGUGAUACCGCCUUCUCUGUUCCGAAUCCGUUGGUUGUAACUCUUGAGAGGGUUUUGGGGAACGAGAGUAUCGCGGAACUCUUGACGACAAACAAGUUGUCAGAAUUGGCCUGUUUGGCAUUAUAUCUAAUGUACGAGAAGAAGCAAGGGAAGAAGUCCUUUUGGUACCCAUAUAUCAAAGAGCUUGAUCGUCAGCGAGGGAGGGGCCAGCUGGCUGUGGAAUCUCCCCUUCUAUGGUCAGAAGCAGAAUUGGAUUACUUGACAGGCAGCCCCACUAAGGAUGAAGUCGUCGAAAGGGCUGAAGGGAUUCAAAGAGAAUAUAAUGAGCUUGACACUGUCUGGUUUAUGGCUGGGUCUCUGUUUCAGCAAUACCCUUAUGAUAUACCUACUGAAGCGUUCCCAUUUGAGAUUUUCAAACAAGCUUUUGUUGCAGUUCAGUCUUGUGUUGUGCAUUUGCAGAAAGUCAGUUUGGCCCGGAGAUUUGCUUUGGUUCCUCUUGGACCUCCAUUGCUAGCUUAUGGAAGCGACUGCAAGGCAAUGUUAACUGCUGUUGAUGGGGCCGUGCAACUUGUUGUUGAUCGUGCAUACAAGGCUGGGGAUUCAAUUGUUGUAUGGUGUGGGCCACAGCCUAAUUCCAAAUUGCUUCUGAACUAUGGUUUUGUUGAUGAAGAUAAUUCUUAUGACCGUUUAGUGGUAGAGGCAGCACUGAAUACUGAGGAUCCUCAAUAUCAGGACAAGAGAAUGGUUGCUCAAAGAAAUGGAAAACUAUCAAUACAAGCUUUCCCUGUGUACAAGGGCAAGGAAAAAGAAGCUGUCUUAGACAUGCUUCCUUAUUUGCGAUUGGGCUAUGUUUCUGAUCCUUCUGAGAUGCAGUCAGUUAUUUCUUCUCAAGGCCCAAUAUGCCCUGUAAGCCCUUGCAUGGAACGAGCGGUUUUAGACCAGUUGGCCGAGUAUUUUAGAGCACGACUGGCUGGCUACCCGACUACCUUGAGCGAGGAUGAUUCUUUGUUGGCAGAUUGCAAUUUGAACCCAAAGAAGCGAGUGGCUACUCAACUCGUCAGAUUAGAAAAGAAAAUGCUAAAUGCAUGCUUGCAGGCAACAGUUGAUUUAAUAAACCAGUUACCUGAUCAUACUAUAUCACCCUGCCCAGCUCCUUAUGCUCCUCUAUUAAAAUGAAAGCAACCAGUGUUAUCCUCUGUGAUCCUGCUAUAUUGUGAAAUUUCCCUGCUGUAUUUCUUGUAUUCAUAUCAAAGAGGAAAAUAUAGAUCAGGUGGAGCUAUGAACUUGGGUACAGUCUGGAGCAGUCAAGUAAUAUGGCCAAAUCUGUCACUGGUUCCAGUAGCUCUGAACAAGAACUUGAAAGGCAUGCUGUUUUUGAGUAACUGAUUCUGGAGCUGUAAAUUUCAAACCUUCCCCACUUCCCUCCCACUCUCCCCCAAAAAAGAAGCCCAUGUAAUUUCACUCUCUUCUGGUUUCCUUUGGUCAUGGGGUGUCUGUAUGCAGUGGGUCACGUAUGGGGCCAUCGCAUUGUAAAAGAAAAUUCUCAUUUUGGGUAGGUUAAAAUUUUCACUUAGGGUAGGUUAGAUUAUCCUGACCACUUGUAAGUUGCAACUAUGGUUGUUCUUUGUAAAUGUUCUUCUUCUUCUGGACGCAUGCAUGUGUUUACAUGUAGUGUUGGGUCAUUUUUAUUGGUUCAUUGUGCAUGUAGUCGGUUAUUGGAGUUGAAUGGACUAGAUACUUGAGAGUUACUUUUGAA